rnacentral:rRNA from 1 species
UAGGAUAGGUGGGAGGCUUUGAAGUGUGGACGCCAGUCUGCAUGGAGCCGACCUUGAAAUACCACCCUUUAAUGUUUGAUGUUCUAACGUGGACCCGUUACCCGGGUUGCGGACAGUGUCUGGUGGGUAGUUUGACUGGGGCGGUCUCCUCCUAAAGAGUAACGGAGGAGCACGAAGGUUGGCUAAUCCUGGUCGGACAUCAGGAGGUUAGUGCAAUGGCAUAAGCCAGCUUGACUGCGAGCGUGACGGCGCGAGCAGGUGCGAAAGCAGGUCAUAGUGAUCCGGUGGUUCUGAAUGGAAGGGCCAUCGCUCAACGGAUAAAAGGUACUCCGGGGAUAACAGGCUGAUACCGCCCAAGAGUUCAUAUCGACGGCGGUGUUUGGCACCUCGAUGUCGGCUCAUCACAUCCUGGGGCUGAAGUAGGUCCCAAGGGUAUGGCUGUUCGCCAUUUAAAGUGGUACGCGAGCUGGGUUUAGAACGUCGUGAGACAGUUCGGUCCCUAUCUGCCGUGGGCGCUGGAGAACUGAGGGGGGCUGCUCCUAGUACGAGAGGACCGGAGUGGACGCAUCACUGGUGUUCGGGUUGUCAUGCCAAUGGCACUGCCCGGUAGCUAAAUGCGGAAGAGAUAAGUGCUGAAAGCAUCUAAGCACGAAACUUGCCCCGAGAUGAGUUCUCCCUGAGACUUAGAGUCUCCUGAAGGAACGUUGAAGACGACGACGUUGAUAGGCCGGGUGUGUAAGCGCAGCGAUGCGUUGAGCUAACCGGUACUAAUGAACCGUGAGGCUUAACCUUACA